rnacentral:rRNA from 1 species
UCAGCCGCCGCGGUAAUACCAGCUCUCCGAGUGGUGUGGACGUUUAUUGGGCCUAAAGCAUCCGUAGCUGGCUGAACAAGUCCCCUGUUAAACCCACCGAUUUAAUCGUUGGCGUGCGGGGGAUACUGCUUGGCUAGGGGACGAGAGAGGCAGACGGUAUUCCCGGGGUAGGGGUGAAAUCCUAUAAUCCCGAGAAGACCACCAAUGGCGAAGGCUGUCUGCUAGAACGCGCCCGACGGUGAGGGAUGAAAGCUGGGGGAGCGAACCGGAUUAGAUACCCGGGUAGUCCCGGCUGUAAACGAAGCAGACUAGGUGUUUGGACGGCCACGUGCCGUUCUAGUGCCGCAGGGAAGCCGUUAAGCCCGCCGCCUGGGAAGUACGGCCGCAAGGCUGAAACUUAAAGGAAUUGGCGGGGGAGCACA